AGUGGCUAAGACUGGAUAGGAAGAUAAAAGGCAUCUUUUAUCUUUUAAAAGACCUAGUAAUAGGUAUGCUUUAGGAGGGGCUUGCGCCAUAUUAGUUAGUUGGUAGGGUAAUGGCCUACCAAGACGAUGAUGUGUAGCUGGACUGAGAGGUUGAACAGCCACAUUGGGACUGAGACACGGCCCAAACUCCUACGGGAGGCAGCAGUAGGGAAUUUUCGGCAAUGGAGGAAACUCUGACCGAGCAACGCCGCGUGAAUGACGAAGUACUUCGGUAUGUAAAGUUCUUUUAUCAAGGAAGAAAAGCAAAUGGCGAACCAUUUGUUUGCCGGUACUUGAUGAAUAAGCCCCGGCUAAUUAUGUGCCAGCAGCCGCGGUAAGACAUAAGGGGCAAGUGUUAUCCGGAAUUAUUGGGCGUAAAGGGUGCGUAGGCGGUCUAGUAAGUCAGUGGUGUAAUGGCAACGCUUAACGUUGUCCGGCUAUUGAAACUGCUAAACUUGAGUUAGAUAGAGGCGAGUGGAAUUCCAUGUGUAGCGGUAAAAUGCGUAAAUAUAUGGAGGAACACCAGAGGCGUAGGCGGCUCGCUGGGUCUUAACUGACGUUGAGGCACGAAAGCGUGGGGAGCAAACAGGAUUAGAUACCCUGGUAGUCCACGCCGUAAACGAUGAGUACUAAGUGUCGGGUUAAACCGGUACUGAAGUUAACACAUUAAGUACUCCGCCUGAGUAGUACGUACGCAAGUAUGAAACUUAAAGGAAUUGACGGGACUCCGCACAAGCGGUGGAUCAUGUUGUUUAAUUCGAAGAUACCCGAAAAACCUUACCAGGUCUUGACAUGUUUUUGCAAAAUGAUAGUAAUAUCGUGGAGGUUACCAGAAACACAGGUGGUGCAUGGUUGUCGUCAGCUCGUGUCGUGAGAUGUUAGGUUAAGUCCUAAAACGAGCGAAACCCUUAUCGUUAGUUGCCAGCACGUUAUGGUGGGGACUUUAACGAGACUGCCAAUGAUAAAUUGGAGGAAGGUGAGGAUCACGUCAAAUCAGCAUGCCCCUUAUGACCUGGGCUACAAACGUGAUACAAUGGCUGUUACAAAGGGUAGCUGAAACGCAAGUUCUUGGCCAAUCCCCAAAAACAGUCCCAGUCCGGAUUGAAGUCUGCAACUCGACUUCAUGAAGUUGGAAUCGCUAGUAAUCGCGAAUCAGCAUGUCGCGGUGAAUACGUUCUCGGGGUUUGUACACACCGCCCG
rnacentral:rRNA from 1 species